ensembl:lncRNA
ACGGGAGCACCGGGAGCGUGGGGCCGCGGGACUCUGCAUGCGGCGUGCGUACCCCAGGAGCAGUCUCCGAGGGGAUGUUUUCGGCGUCAGAGCGGGUGGCACAGUUCAUCUGGUUUGUCAAGAUCAAAACUGAGCGGAAGAUGCCAGAGGUGAGAUCGUCAGGAAGAGCGGGAACCAGAACAUCUUUCUGCAUAUUGUGGACUUGUCCGAUCCCAGGACCAUCUGGAAAUGUGUUGAAAAUUCCAAGUGAGAGCAUACCCUCAAUGUCCUGGUGUGUGUGUGCUCACAACUGCCCUGAUCCGCCGCUUGGAGAAAGAGCACGACCCCAGAGUGGACUGUUGGUUCAGAAACUGAAGACCAACGACCUGCAGUCGGAAAGGACAGCAUUCGAUGGCACCAUGGUCUAUGCACAAAACAAGCGGCAGCAGGUGGUUCUGACCAAGCUGUGGGCCCAGGCACACCUGCCAUCCACUUCUCCUGCAUGCAUCCCGGCUGCAUCGACACCCCAGGAACUAAUGGGAGAUGUGGAAAUUGAGGUUGCUCAUCGCAGCACCAGGGCUCGGCGCCUGCGUUAAUAAACCACGGGCCUCCUGUGCGGGAAAUCUGCUCGGCCCUGAAACCCCUGCUGUGGAUGAGUGUCUACCGGGAAGGAAAACUGUCUUCACUGGGCCAUGAAACAGCAGCUCCCCCAGCUGUACGUGCCUUACGGUCUUACGUCUGCUGCAGCCACAUCCCCAUGUGGAAAGGUGUAAGUUGGUGCCACAGAGCACCCCGUGGAGACCCGGCUGGGAGAGUUGGCACAGACUAGCCCUCUGUGGUGCGGAUCUGGGGACAUGUGGCAGCCUCCUGGUGUAAAUGCAAAGGGGGUGUCCUCAGCCAGGCACACGGGGAGGGACUCAGGCCGGGGGUGUUGGGAGAGGGUGGCUUCUCAGUUCUUGUCACUCCCUGAGGGGAGACGGAUCAGGCCGUGGAGAGCUGCCAGCUUCUCACCGGCCCCCACUCAACCCGCGUGCUGCAGGAUCUGUGUUAGCAAGCCCACCACCUGGCCCCACCCUCUGGGUCAGGGUGCACUUUGCCAUCUGCGGUCCACAGGUCACAGGAGCCUGGGCCUCUUGGGUGCAGGUGGUCUGUCUACGGACACGGGCCGGGCUCCCAGACGCUUGUUCUCCCUGAGUGGUUUGACGGAGGGAUUCGGAGUCCUCCUUUUUGCUGAUGAGUAUUUCCUAAUCUUUCCACAAUAAGUAUUACUUCUAUAAAAAGAAAAACAUUUUAAAUUAAAAAAAAUGAAG